rnacentral:rRNA from 1 species
UGAGGAAUAUUGGUCAAUGGGCGCAAGCCUGAACCAGCCAAGUAGCGUGAGGGAAGACUGCCCUAUGGGUUGUAAACCUCUUUUGUGCGGGGAUAAAGUGUGGGACGUGUCCCAUAUUGCAGGUACCGCACGAAUAAGGACCGGCUAAUUCCGUGCCAGCAGCCGCGGUAAUACGGAAGGUCCGGGCGUUAUCCGGAUUUAUUGGGUUUAAAGGGAGCGCAGGCCGUCCUUUAAGCGUGCUGUGAAAUGCCGCGGCUCAACCGUGGCACUGCAGCGCGAACUGGAGGACUUGAGUACGCACGAGGUAGGCGGAAUUCGUGGUGUAGCGGUGAAAUGCUUAGAUAUCAUGAAGAACUCCGAUUGCGAAGGCAGCUUACCGGAGCGCAACUGACGCUGAGGCUCGAAAGCGCGGGUAUCGAACAGGAUUAGAUACCCUGGUAGUCCGCGCGGUAAACGAUGGAUGCCCGCCGUUGGGUUUUAGAAUUCAGCGGCCAAGCGAAAGCGUUAAGCAUCCCACCUGGGGAGUACGCCGGCAACGGUGAAACUCAAAGGAAUUGACGGGGGCCCGCACAAGCGGAGGAACAUGUGGUUUAAUUCGAUGAUACGCGAGGAACCUUACCCGGGCUUGAAUUGCAGGAGAACGAUCCAGAGAUGGUGAGGCCCUUCGGGGCUCCUGUGAAGGUGCUGCAUGGUUGUCGUCAGCUCGUGCCGUGAGGUGUCGGCUCAAGUGCCAUAACGAGCGCAACCCCUGUCCAUAGUUGCCAUCAGGUCGUGCUGGGCACUCUGUGGAGACUGCCGCCGUAAGGUGUGAGGAAGGUGGGGAUGACGUCAAAUCAGCACGGCCCUUACGUCCGGGGCUACACACGUGUCACAAUGGGGCAUACAGCGAGUUGGAUGUGCGCAAGUACGUCCGGAUCAAUAAAGUGCCUCUCAGUUCGGACUGGGGUCUGCAACCCGACCCCACGAAGCUGGAUUCGCUAGUAAUCGCGCAUCAGCCAUGGCGCGGUGAAUACGUUCCC